rnacentral:lncRNA from 1 species
CAUCGAUGUCGGCCUUGGGCAGGCUCACAUCCACAUCUGGACCUUCUCCUUUGAAGCCAGGCAUGCUGAAUUUGGGCAUUUUCACCUUGGGCAUCUUCAGGUGCCAGUCUGGGCCAUGAACAUCCACAUCUGGGGCAUCAAUGUCCACUUUGGGGCCCUUGAUGUCAACUUCAGGGGCCUUUAGAUCACCUUCCAUCUUAGGCAGAGAAACAUCCACAUCUCCUUUCACCUUAGGGCCUUUCAGAUGCAAAUCAAAGUCAGGCAUGGAGAUCUUGGGGGCUUUGAUGUUCAUCUCAGGCAUCUUGAAUUUGGGACCUUUCAACUUUCCCUCUGGGCCUUCGAUAUUCACAUCUGGAACAUCAAUGUCCACCUUGGGUCCUGAGACAUCAAGGUCAGCCUUGGGCAGGUUCACAUCCACAUCUGGGCCCUCUCCUUUGAAGCCAGGCAUGCUGAAUUUGGGCAUUUUCACUUUGGGCAUUUUUAGGUGCCAGUCUGGGCCAUGAA